GUUUAUGAACCACUAGUUUAGACAAAGAAUAGUUGUACAGUUGUACAGAUGGAUAAGGAAGGAAAGAACAUUCCAGGCAAAGAGAAAAGGUUAUGCAAUGGCUGAAAUGUUUAACAAGGUAUUUGGAGACCUUGAGAUAGUUUGAAAUUAUGUAAUGUCUAAGAUGUGGGCCAAGAGAAAAUAAAGGAAAAUAUCACAGGAUAAUAGAGGAGUAAAGUAAACUAUGCUGUAUUAACUCCAUAUUAGGCAGCCAGUAAAAAUAAAUACAACCACCAAAAGUAACUCAGAAAUAUGUUUAGGAAACAAUACUAAUUGAAAAAUAUAGAACUUCAGGUUGUAUAUCUACCAUAUUUCCAAUCUGUAAAAUAUAAGUACAUUUGGAUCAAGAUUGGAAAGGAAGACAAAUUAGAAUAACUCG
rnacentral:lncRNA from 1 species